AACGAACGCUGGCGGCAGGCUUAACACAUGCAAGUCGAACGCCCCGCAAGGGGAGUGGCAGACGGGUGAGUAACGCGUGGGAAUCUACCCAUCCCUACGGAACAACUCCGGGAAACUGGAGCUAAUACCGUAUACGCCCUACGGGGGAAAGAUUUAUCGGGGAUGGAUGAGCCCGCGUUGGAUUAGCUAGUUGGUGGGGUAAAGGCCUACCAAGGCGACGAUCCAAAGCUGGUCUGAGAGGAUGAUCAGCCACAUUGGGACUGAGACACGGCCCAAACUCCUACGGGGGGCAGCAGUGGGGAAUAUUGGACAAUGGGCGCAAGCCUGAUCCAGCCAUGCCGCGUGAGUGAUGAAGGUCUUAGGAUUGUAAAGCUCUUUCACCGAUGAAGAUAAUGACGGUAGUCGGAGAAGAAGCCCCGGCUAACUUCGUGCCAGCCGCCGCAGUAA
rnacentral:rRNA from 1 species